GGGUCGGUAGCGAAGUGGUCAAACGCGCCUGACUGUAAAUCAGGUGGCUUACUCCUUCGGGGGUUCGAGUCCCUCCCGGCCCACCA
rnacentral:tRNA from 1 species